UCAUCUAUGCCAGUAACCCAUUAACCUCUUGGUGAUCCCUGCCCGUAAUGCAGUGUGAAAUGACCACGAAUUCUGAUCCGUGAAGAAUGCUCUCUAAAUAUUAUGGUUUAUGUCGAAAGAAAAUUCAGGCGUUUUAACAGAAUCCACCAUCGAGGUAUUUUCUGAAGUUCAAAUUUCAGCUUCUACAGAGAUGAGAGUUUUAGCUCAAAGUCAGAAAUUUAAGCAGAUCAGUAACUGAACUGACUUUUUUUUCCUGUGAGUUUUCAGGGACUGAUCUACAAAAUGAGCUAUGUCUUUACUUCAGUCUCUGAGGAGUCAAUGCUUUAACACUAUAGGGUGGCAUCUGUAGACUCCUGCAGCCAGUUUGAAAUCCCACUCAGAAGUUGGUGUACAGUAUCCUUUUGCUUGUUUUCUUACAGUGCACAGUGAGAACAUUAAAAGAACGCAUGUCAUGGAGACAAGUAUCUCUCAGUGUUCCUCAGGACCAGAAACAUUGCAACUCAAUCCUGGUGAUCUACAGUUACUGUAAUACUGGCCGGUGUAUGUCUUUUUGACUGGAAAUAUACACCUUAUUGCCUUUUCAUGCCAGACACAGAAUUUUGUAUGUGACCAAAUCUCAAAUCGCCCUCAUCUUGAGUUUCUUGUUGAAAUUUUAUGUAGCAAAUAUCUGGUAAAAAUACAAUGACUCAUAUAUAUCCCAUCACCACAAUGAU